UAGUGACUGGUAAAUAUAGAGCAACAAGUUUAUACUACACAGCACAGGGAACCAUAGUAUCUUGUAGUAGCUCAUGGUGAGAAAGGACAUGAAAAUGUAUACACAUAUGUUCAUGUAUGACUGAAGCAUUGUGCUGUACACCAGAAAUUGACACAUUGUAAACUGACUAUACUUCAAUAAAAUAAAAAUUUAAAAACCUGAACAUUUAAAACGACCCUUGAGAGAAAUGGCCCCAUCUCACCAAAGGCAGGAAAACGCUGGGACACUACGGGGAGGAGGAGGCGAGAUGGCGCUGAGAGGACGGGGGAGCAGGAGGGCAGCUAUAGAGGGGCGCCAGGCAGGGGGCAAACGCGGAGAAGAGGGGACAGUUGCUCUGGCUCAAGGAACGCUUGCCAGCCAGAUGCGUGACGUGGCCCUGUGGCAUUUGGACAGGCCAGGGUGGGGCAGGGCUGAAAAUGGUCCAUGGGCUGACCUGGGCCUCUUUCUGGCUUCCAGCUGGGCUGGGGAUGGAGGGACACGUGUGACCCAGCCUCCCCUAGCCAGUGUGAGCUGCGGAGCAACCUGGGCACAGGCUCAGCCGGGAAGGUCUGAAGCUUGGCCCCUGCCUGGGUAAGCUGUGUGCUUUCUGAAUGCUGGACCUCUCUUGUCAACGUGCCACCCCACGCUGACACACGUACGUACACACACACACACCCUCCCAGUAGAGUGCCUUGUAGGAGAUGCUCCAUGUGGGGCCACCAGGUGACACAAGCUGGCAGUUGGGAAGAGGUACACACUGUGUUUGUUCCAUUUGUACUUUUUGUUUCUUUGGUCAGGUUGGAUAUAUUAUCAUUUGUUAAUGCUCCUCUUCAUUUUUAUGUACUGAAAUUUAUUUAUUUUUUGAAUAGAAAACAUGACGAUUAGGCAAGUUAAAUGGCUGAGAGGUGACACACACACUGGGGUGCAUCAUGAACCUCCUGGAUCUUGGCUAAUGAUGGAAGUGGACACAUGAAGGAUUCCUGGUGUGACAAGUGAAUACCUGUUUGAAUGAUUAUGAAUUGGUAACAAAGCAGAGAAUCAGAAGACAGAUCACAGGUUGCAGAAGACACAAGAUGUAGAAUCCGCAAGCCUGCCCUCCGCCUGCCCCACCUGCUGACUCUACAGAAACCUUCAUGCCGGCACUGAUGGUGACUGCCGUCCCCUUUCCCCCCGGACCCUCACAUUGCCUGUCAUCAUUGCCACCUCCUUAGGCUCCUCUUGGUUGUGACAUUUUCCCAGGCUUCUAUAGGUUUUGAUGACCUUAACAGAUUUGAGGUGCACAGGAUGCCCCUAGUGGAAAUCGUGUAAGGUUUUCGCCAAGAUUAGAGUGAGAUUAUAGGUUUUUGGGAGGAAUAUCACAGGUCAAGGACCAUUUUCAUCACAUCAUGCAAGUUUUCCUCUCUCCAAACAAGUUGUUUGAGGUGUUGGAGCGUGCGUUUUCUGGAAAGAGGUCUUGAAUGGUGGGGGCAGGCACUCAGCUGGGGCUGAGGGUCCCACCUCCCGCUCCGUGAGCAGCUGCAUGGUCCCCCAAGGUGGGCAGGAGUGGUUCCUAGGGCUGGGGGAGACCUCAGCCUGGAGAGAGGGGCCUUCUAGAAGACAUGGAGGACGGUGGAGUCUUCCAAGCCGCGUGGGUUCUGUUCUUCCGCCGCCCCACUUCGUCCCCUGCUCCCAUUCCCGGAUUCCCUCCGCUUGGCACCCAAGGAGCCCCAUCUGUGCAGCCAGCCAGAGACCCUGGCAAACUCCAGCCUAGCAGGCCUGGGGGGUGUUCCAGGCCCCUUAGCCCACAGAGUUGGUGACUGACAGCGUUCCUGCUCGGGGAUCGCUGGUUCGGAGAGGCGCUGGGACACGGCGGCCCCGGGGAUGCGGGUCUGGGCGUGUGGAAGGGGUGGGGCCAGGCAGUAGGAGGCCGCCUUCCCCAGCUCCAUCCCUCCCUCCACCCCGCGACUGGCAGAUGCUGCUCCCGGCACUGCUCCGGUGCCUGGGGCUUCCUCGCUCCCUAAGUCUGAGAUAGAUUCGAGACGACAGGCAAGUCACAACCCAGAGACCCUCUACGUGGAGCUGUGGAUGCUGCCCAUGCUGUUCGGCCUGGAAGGUGAACUGACGGCGCUCCACCAGUGGUUCCGGGUCUUCCUCGUGGUGAGCGCGGUCCCAGGAUGCGGAGUCCUGAUCUUCAUUAUUGGACCGCCCUUCUACUAGUGUUUUACAAUGCUCCUCAUCGUGGCGAUGUCUUUCCAGCUUCGGAUCCGCGACAACCGAGAUAGGGGUUUCAGGGGCCCCAGCAGAGAAUGAUUCCUCCACCCAGGAGCCCGGGAAGCCAGAGCCCGGAGCAGACGGGUGCUAAUUUCUUUGCGGGCCUCGGGCGUUCGGUUUAAGGCUGGGGCCGGUGCUGAGACCCUUAUCCAGACGUCUGCUGGUGGCGGACCUCACCACAGGGACGGCAUUUCUGCUAGAUGGAGUCCAGGAGGCUAAGGCGCCAUGAAAGACGCGAUGACGAUGGGUGUGGGGACCACCAUCCUUAAUUCUGUUACCUUCAAUUUAUUGCAAGCUUGAGCUUUUAAGGAAAGUUUCAGUGGUUUUAUAGUAAAUGAUCUUUAUUGA